rnacentral:rRNA from 1 species
AUUGAACGCUGGCGGCAGGCUUAACACAUGCAAGUCGAGCGGGGUGAUGGUGCUUGCACUAUCACUUAGCGGCGGACGGGUGAGUAAUGCUUAGGAAUCUGCCUAUUAGUGGGGGACAACAUCUCGAAAGGGAUGCUAAUACCGCAUACGUCCUACGGGAGAAAGCAGGGGAUCACUUGUGACCUUGCGCUAAUAGAUGAGCCUAAGUCGGAUUAGCUAGUUGGUGGGGUAAAGGCCUACCAAGGCGACGAUCUGUAGCGGGUCUGAGAGGAGGAUCCGCCACACGGGGACUGAGACACGGCCCAGACUCCUACGGGAGGCAGCAGUGGGGAAUAUUGGACAAUGGGUGGAACCCUGAUCCAGCCAUGCCGCGUGUGUGAAGAAGGCCUUAUGGUUGUAAAGCACUUUAAGCGAGGAGGAGGCUCUUUUGGUUAAUACCCAAGAUGAGUGGACGUUACUCGCAGAAUAAGCACCGGCUAACUCUGUGCCAGCCGCCGCCGUAA